rnacentral:rRNA from 1 species
GACGAACGCUGGCGGCGUGCUUAACACAUGCAAGUCGAACGAAGUGGCGAACGGGUGAGUAACGCGUAAUCAACCUGCCCUUCAGAGGGGGACAACAGUUGGAAACGACUGCUAAUACCGAAUACUGAAGGAGGGGAUUGCGUCUGAUUAGCGAGGUGGAGGGGUAACGGCCCACGAAGGCGAUGAUCAGUAGCCGGUCUGGGAGGAUGAACGGGCACAUUGGGACUGGUGCACGGCCCAGACUUCUGCGGGGGGCCGCAGUGGGGAAUCGUCCGCAAUGGACGAAAGUCUGACGGAACCACUCCGGGUGAGGGAUGACGGCCUUCGGGUUGUAAAGCUCUGUUAAUCGGGACGCGGUACCGGAAUAGAAAGCCACGGCUAACUACGUGCCAGCAGCCGCGGUAAUUC